rnacentral:rRNA from 1 species
AUCGAACGCUGGCGGCAGGCCUAACACAUGCAAGUCGAGCGGAGCGGCGGAAGGGUGAGUAAUGCCUAGGAAUCAGCCUGGUAGUGGGGGACAACUUCCGGGAACGUGCGCAAAUACCGCAUACUAUCAGAUGAGCCUAGGUCGGAUGAGCUGGUUGGGUGGGUAAAGGACUACCAAGGCGACGAUCCGUCACUGGUCUGAGAGGAUGAUCAGUCACACUGAAACGUAGACACGGGCCCGAAUCCGACGUGAGGCAGGAGGGGGGAAUAUUGGACAAUCGGCGAAAUCCUGAUCCAGCCAUGCGGCGUGUGUGUGGAAGGUCUUCGGAUUGUAAGGCACGUAGAGUUUGGAGGCGUUACCAACAGAAUAAGCACCGGCUAACGUCGUGCCAGCAGCCGCGGUAAUAC